AUGCAAGUCGAACGAAGUUAGGAAGCUUGCUUCUGAUACUUAGUGGCGGACGGGUGAGUAAUGCUUAGGAAUCUGCCUAGUAGUGGGGGAUAACUUGGGGAAACCCAAGCUAAUACCGCAUACGACCUACGGGUGAAAGGGGGCGCAAGCUCUCGCUAUUAGAUGAGCCUAAGUCGGAUUAGCUAGUUGGUGGGGUAAAGGCCUACCAAGGCGACGAUCUGUAGCUGGUCUGAGAGGAUGAUCAGCCACACUGGGACUGAGACACGGCCCAGACUCCUACGGGAGGCAGCAGUGGGGAAUAUUGGACAAUGGGCGAAAGCCUGAUCCAGCCAUGCCGCGUGUGUGAAGAAGGCCUUUUGGUUGUAAAGCACUUUAAGUGGGGAGGAAAAGCUUAUGGUUAAUACCCAUAAGCCCUGACGUUACCCACAGAAUAAGCACCGGCUAACUCUGUGCCAGCAGCCGCGGUAAUACAGAGGGUGCAAGCGUUAAUCGGAAUUACUGGGCGUAAAGCGCGCGUAGGUGGUUAUUUAAGUCAGAUGUGAAAGCCCCGGGCUUAACCUGGGAACUGCAUCUGAUACUGGAUAACUAGAGUAGGUGAGAGGGGAGUAGAAUUCCAGGUGUAGCGGUGAAAUGCGUAGAGAUCUGGAGGAAUACCGAUGGCGAAGGCAGCUCCCUGGCAUCAUACUGACACUGAGGUGCGAAAGCGUGGGUAGCAAACAGGAUUAGAUACCCUGGUAGUCCACGCCGUAAACGAUGUCUACCAGUCGUUGGGUCUUUUAAAGACUUAGUGACGCAGUUAACGCAAUAAGUAGACC
rnacentral:rRNA from 1 species